CAUUAAAAAGUUAAUUGUAUUAAUCAAUUUAAUUUGAAGUUAAAAAUUUAUUUUUUAUUUAAUUUUUGAUUAAUUUUAAAAGAAGAAAAUAAAUUUUUGAUUAAUUUUUAUUGAAAAAAUUUUUAUAAUGAUAGUUUAUAAGUAUUGAGAAAGAGUAUAUUAAUUAAAGGAAAGAAAAAUUUAUUUUUUGUACCUUGUGUACCAGGGUUUAUUAAAAAUUUACUUAAAAAUUUAAUGAUCUCGAAUUUAAAAGAGCUAAAUAAAUAUAUAUUUAUAUUGUAGAAUAAAUAUAUUAAAUAUUUAUUUAGUAAUGAAAUGUUAUUCGUUUUUAAAUAUAUCUAGUUUUUUAAGAAAUAAAUUUAAUUUUAUUAUUAUUAAUAUAAUAUUAAUUAGUUAAUUUUAUAUUAUUAAUAAUUAAUAUAUUUAGGGAUGAGCUUAAAUAUAGAUUUUUAUUAAAAAUUUUAAUUUAUAAAUAUUUUAGGAUUAAUAAUGUCCAUAAUUUAAGUUUGUUAUAAUUUAUUUUAUUUAAAUAUAAUUUUUAUUUUUUAUAAAUAUUUUAUUAAAAUAUAGUUUUUAAUUUUAAAUAAUUAGUAAUAAUGAUAAAAUUAGUAUAAUAUUAUUAAUAGAUAUUUAAUUUAUUAUAGGUAAGUUUAAGGAAUUCGGCAAAUUAUUUUUCACCUGUUUAUUAAAAACAUGGCCUUUUGUUAAAAAUUUAAGGUCUUGCCUGCCCACUGAGUAUUUGAAUGGCCGCGGUAUAUUGACCGUGCUAAGGUAGCAUAAUCAUUAGUUUUUUAAUUGGAAGCUGGAAUGAAGGGUUGGAUGAAAAAAUUACUGUCUUAAAUUUAAUUUAUUAGAAUUUUAUUUUUAAGUUAAAAAGCUUAAAUAAAUUUAAAAGACGAGAAGACCCUAUAGAGUUUAAUAGUUUUUAUGUUAAUUAAUUAAGAAUUAAAAUUUUUUAUUAAAAAAAAUUAUUUGAUUGGGGUGAUUUAAAAAUUUAAUUAACUUUUUAUUUAUUUUUAUAUUAAUUUAUAGUUUAUUUGAUCCUAUUUUUAAGAUUAUAAGAAAAAAUUACCUUAGGGAUAACAGCGUAAUUUUAUUAGAGAGUUCAAAUCGAUAAUAAAGAUUGCGACCUCGAUGUUGGAUUAAAAUUUAUAUUUGGUGUAGGCGCUAAAUUAUUAAGUCUGUUCGACUUUUAAAAUUUUACAUGAUCUGAGUUUAAACCGGUGUAAGCCAGGUUGGUUUCUAUCUUUAAACAGUUAAUAUAUUUUAGUACGAAAGGAUUAAAUAUGUAUAAAAUUUAUUUUUAUCGAGUAAAAUUAUUAUUUUGGCAGAUUAGUGCGGUAGAUUUAGAAUCUUUUUAUGUAAUUUAUAUUAC
rnacentral:rRNA from 1 species